CCUACGUAGCACUAUUGAGUUUUCAAAACUCACCGAGGUAGAGAAAAGAGAAGAGAAUGGCCAUCGACAAAACCCUAAGUUCUCUACCGUCGGUGUAGCUAUCGUUACAUUCGCCGGUUCAUCGCCGUUGCAGUCGCCCGGUUCCGCCGCCGUUGCCGCUACAGUUGUCGCAAGAAGCUCAUGAAUCGAGCCACCUCCUCUAUCAACAUUAUGGUUUCAGAUCUGGUUGCUCUGAAGCUACGGUUGCCGAUGCAGCUUCCGCCGCCGUUGCCGCCGCAGUUUUCGCCAACGUUGUCGCGGUAGUUUCUGCGGUCGAAAGCUUCUGAAUCAAGCCAUUGUUUCAGAUCUAUUUUCUCCUUCGAGUUCCUGCUGAUUUCAGGCAAAAAAGCUUAUAUGAGAUACUUGGAUAAUAUUUACAAGCAGAACGACAUCUCUUGAUUUACGCCUGUGGAGAUCUUCAAGGCUAAUGAUGCUGAAAGCAAGCCUAUUAUUCCCUUUGAUGCUAAAAGAUCAGCUAAUGAUAGCAAUGGACAUCCGAGAACAAAUAUUUGAUACUUUUAUGUAAUUAGAUGAUAUUGAAAUAUUGAAGUUGUUGUUUUAUUUUACUUUAAAAAAAACAUUAAUAAUUAUGUAAAAUAAUACCAUAUGCAAUUAUGUUUGGAACUAAUUGACAUUGAG